GACGAACGCUGGCGGCGUGCUUAACACAUGCAAGUCGAACGCUGAAGCUUGGUGCUUGCACUGGGUGGGUGAGUGGCGAACGGGUGAGUAAUAAGUGAGUAACCUGCCCUUGACUCUGGGAUAAGCCUGGGAAACUGGGUCUAAUACUGGAUACGACAUGUCACCGCAUGGUGGUGUGUGGAAAGGGUUUUACUGGUUUUGGAUGGGCUCACGGCCUAUCAGCUUGUUGGUGGGGUAAUGGCUCACCAAGGCGACGACGGGUAGCCGGCCUGAGAGGGUGACCGGCCACCCGGGGACUGAGAGACGGCCCAGACUGCUACGGGAGGCAGCAGUGGGGAAUAUGGCACAAUGGGCGGAAGCCUGAUGCAGCGACCCCGCGUGCGGGAUGACGGCCUUCGGGUUGUAAACCUCUUUCAGCACGGAAGAAGCGAAAGUGACGGUACGUGCAGAAGAAGCGCCGGCUAACUACGUG
rnacentral:rRNA from 1 species